rnacentral:rRNA from 1 species
GACGAACGCUGGCGGCGUGCUUAACACAUGCAAGUCGAGCGGUAAGGCCCUUUCGGGGGUACACGAGCGGCGAACGGGUGAGUAACACGUGGGUGACCUGCCCUCAGCUCUGGGAUAAGCCUGGGAAACCGGGUCUAAUACUGGAUAUGACUCCAUGACGCAUGUUGUGGGGUGGAAAGCCUUGUGCGGCUGAGGAUGGGCCCGCGGCCUAUCAGCUUGUUGGGGGGUGAUGGCCUACCAAGGCGACGACGGGUAGCCGGCCUGAGAGGGCGGACCGGCCACACUGGGACUGAGACACGGCCCAGACUCCUACGGGAGGCAGC